rnacentral:lncRNA from 1 species
ACAGUAUUCAAAGCUUAGAUGCAGGUUCACUUUGUUUUGAUGAUUAUUGUGACUGGAAAAGAUACCUUCCUAUAAAAAAUGUAGAUUUCAAAUGGAGAUAUGUCACAUAAGUUCAAAUUACUAAAAUUUUUAGUUCUGUUCACUAAAUAUCAAAAGGGCUUUUAUUGACAUUUUCAUCUUCCCUGAUAAAAACUGUUAAAAAUCAACCAGAAAUUGUUAUAUUUUCAAGGGGAACAUUCAAAAUUCAUUGAUUUUAUUUAUGUAGGAGAUUUUUUAACUGAUUAGAAAGACCUGUUACCAAGUUGAGUUUGAGUGUUUUUUAAACAAUACAGAGGUAGAGUCUCCCUGUAUUGCCCACACUGGCUUCCAGCUCUUGGGUCCAAGCAGUUCUUCUGCUUCAGCCUCCUGAGUAACUAGAACUACAAGUGUGCCCCACUUGAGAUUUUUAAAAAAUAGGUGUCACAUACUGAUUUUGGUCACAAAAAUCAUACAGUGUUUCCUUAAUAAUUGUAUUCUUCAUAGUUUGAGUUUAUUUUAAAGAGCAAUUUUUUUUUUAGUGUUUUUGUUGUUAAAAUGCCACCUUUACUGGAACAGACAGAUUAAUAUCUGUCAAAUAUAUG